rnacentral:rRNA from 1 species
GAUGAACGCUGGCGGCGUGCCUAAUACAUGCAAGUCGAGCGAACAGAUGAGGAGCUUGCUCCUCUGACGUUAGCGGCGGACGGGUGAGUAACACGUGGAUAACCUACCUAUAAGACUGGGAUAACUACGGGAAACCGGAGCUAAUACCGGAUAAUAUAUUGAACCGCAUGGUUCAAUAGUGAAAGACGGUUUUGCUGUCACUUAUAGAUGGAUCCGCGCCGCAUUAGCUAGUUGGUAAGGUAACGGCUUACCAAGGCAACGAUGCGUAGCCGACCUGAGAGGGUGAUCGGCCACACUGGAACUGAGACACGGUCCAGACUCCUACGGGAGGCAGCAGUAGGGAAUCUUCCGAAAAGGGCGAAAGCCUGACGGAGCAACGCCGCGUGAGUGAUGAAGGUCUUCGGAUCGUAAAACUCUGUUAUUAGGGAAGAACAAAUGUGUAAGUAACUAUGCACGUCUUGACGGUACCUAAUCAGAAAGCCACGGCUAACUACGUG